rnacentral:other from 1 species
GAGUCGCACAGUGAAGCAGCUGUCAGGAUGAUGGGGCUUCACAACAGGACACGCCGGAGUGCGUUGCAAGGAAGGCUUCAGGAAUGAAGCGAAAGGAGAGCGCAGGAGCGCUAAGGGACACCUCCAGGAAGGAGAAUGAGAGCCGAUCAGGAUGAACGGUGGGUCAGGAUGACUAAGGACGAUGCGUCAGGGGGGCGCAAAGUAAACGUCAGGAUGAUGUGCUGCAGGAUGCAUUAAAAAGGAUGACAGGUCGAAAGGCCGCUGGAAAAGUUGUCACGGACGAGCAGGGAGCAUUAAGAAGUAGCCGGACUGCUGCGAAACGAACCGGGAGCACUGUUUUUACAGUGCUCCCUUUUUUUUAU